rnacentral:rRNA from 1 species
AGUGAACGCUGGCGGUAGGCCUAACACAUGCAAGUCGAACGGCAGCACAGUAAGAGCUUGCUCUUACGGGUGGCGAGUGGCGGACGGGUGGGGAAUACAUCGGAAUCUACUUUUUCGUGGGGGAUAACGUAGGGAAACUUACGCUAAUACCGCAUACGACCUACGGGUGAAAGCAGGGGAUCUUCGGACCUUGCGCGAUUGAAUGAGCCGAUGUCGGAUUAGCUAGUUGGCGGGGUAAAGGCCCACCAAGGCGACGAUCCGUAGCCGGUCUGAGAGGAUGAUCAGCCACACUGGAACUGAGACACGGUCCAGACUCCUACGGGAGGCAGCAGUGGGGAAUAUUGGACAAUGGGCGCAAGCCUGAUCCAGCCAUACCGCGUGGGUGAAGAAGGCCUUCGGGUUGUAAAGCCCUUUUGUUGGGAAAGAAAAGCAGCAGGUUAAUACCCCGCUGUUCUGACGGUACCCAAAGAAUAAGCACCGGCUAACUUCGUG